rnacentral:rRNA from 1 species
GCUCUGUGGGAUCAGUGGCGAACGGGUGAGUAACACGUGAGCAACCUGCCCCUGACUCUGGGAUAAGCGCUGGAAACGGCGUCUAAUACUGGAUAUGUGACGUGACCGCAUGGUCUGCGUUUGGAAAGAUUUUUCGGUUGGGGAUGGGCUCGCGGCCUAUCAGCUUGUUGGUGAGGUAAUGGCUCACCAAGGCGUCGACGGGUAGCCGGCCUGAGAGGGUGACCGGCCACACUGGGACUGAGACACGGCCCAGACUCCUACGGGAGGCAGCAGUGGGGAAUAUUGCACAAUGGGCGAAAGCCUGAUGCAGCAACGCCGCGUGAGGGAUGACGGCCUUCGGGUUGUAAACCUCUUUUAGCAGGGAAGAAGCGAAAGUGACGGUACCUGCAGAAAAAGCGCCGGCUAACUACGUGCCAGCAGCCGCGGUAAUACGUAGGGCGCAAGCGUUAUCCGGAAUUAUUGGGCGUAAAGAGCUCGUAGGCGGUUUGUCGCGUCUGCUGUGAAAUCCCGAGGCUCAACCUCGGGCCUGCAGUGGGUACGGGCAGACUAGAGUGCGGUAGGGGAGAUUGGAAUUCCUGGUGUAGCGGUGGAAUGCGCAGAUAUCAGGAG